GGGCGUGUGGUCUAGUGGUAUGAUUCUCGCUUUGGGCGAAAAUUCAGUUUACUGAGUUGGACAUCAAAUAUGCGAGAGGCCCUGGGUUCAAUUCCCAGCUCGCCCC
rfam:Candida tanzawaensis NRRL Y-17324 unplaced genomic scaffold CANTAscaffold_6, whole genome shotgun sequence.